rnacentral:rRNA from 1 species
UACGAAGGGUGCAAGCGUUACUCGGAUUGACUGGGCGUAAAGGGCGCGUAGGCGGUUUGUACAGUCAGACGUGAAAUUCCUGGGCUCAACCUGGGGGCUGCGUUUGAUACGUGCAGACUUGAGUUCGGAAGAGGGUCGUGGAAUUCCCAGUGUAGAGGUGAAAUUCGUAGAUAUUGGGAAGAACACCGGUGGCGAAGGCGGCGACCUGGUCCGAUACUGACGCUGAGGCGCGAAAGCGUGGGGAGCAAACAGG